GGCGUUAUCAGCAUACAGGUGCUGGUGAAAGCCUUGAGAUUGGACAAGAUUGUCUAGGACGGAGGAGGAGAGAAUGAGAAGUAGGCUGCAGGCACCACGGUGUAGUGGGAGGGAAAGCAGCCGGUGAAGAGGGUUGAAAAGGAAAGAUCAGCCAGGGCGAGGCCAUGAGCCAGUGGGAAAAGACAGGAGUCCCACGAUGUUGUCCUAACAUUUGAUGGCAGAUUUUCCUUGGAAAGGCAUCUAGGCCAGCUGGCCUCAGGGUAUUGUGUUUCUUACACAUAAGAAGUGUCCUGAGCCUUUCACAGGUAUGUAUUAUCUCUUUUAAUCUUCAUUACCUGUAGGGUGGAUUCUACUAUUCCCCAUUUUAUAGAGAAGGAAACAAAGGCACAAGGUAACUUGCCCAAGGUCCCAUAGUUAGUAAGGCAGAGCUGGGAAUUUAAUGCAGGUAGCCUGGCUCCAGAGCCCCUACACAUCACCACUAUCCUGUAAUAUGUAUCUCUUAAUGACA
rnacentral:lncRNA from 1 species